AACGGCGCGGACAGAAGCGCCGCCUAGCAAGAAGCGUAAGAACAGCAGUAGUACACGAGUGGUGGCGCUGAGUGUUCACGGCGUGGAGGCGUGCGAGUCGACCCCUGACCCCGUGCGGAUGUUCCUGGAGGACAUAGCUGGCCUGAUGGAGGGAGAGGACGGCAUGUGUGUACUCAAGAGUCGCUUCGUGUCCAUCCGCGUUUUCCCAGGCACCUGUAGCUUCCGCUACCUGAUGUUCAACUGGGAACUCUGCGGAAACCCUGGGAGCGGGAGAAAUGCCAUGAAGUAUACGCAUGGUUAUGGAAACGUUUCUAUUUAAGUUCAAGGUCUUUUUAAAACAUAUACAGAUUUCUUCUUUUAAAACGAUAAUGUUAAAUCUCAGCCACUGGAUGGGAACAAUGUGUCGGUAUCAUUCAGGUGCAGUAUGAUGUCAUCAGGUGCAGUAUGAUGUCAUCAGGUGCAGUAUGAUGUCAUCAGGUGCAGUAUGAUGUCAUGACUAGUAUUAACAGGACUCAAAAGUAAGAAAAAAAUGAAAACCCGAGUGCGAACGCAUUCCAUAACCACCAUGUUUUUAGAGAUCUUAAUAAAGUUUAUUUUGAAGUUA